GGCUUCAUGCCGCAGUUGGUUAGCGCGUCUCCUUAACACUUCGAGUCUUCGGAUCGAUAGGGCUUACGGAGGAGGUCGCCGGUUCGAACCCGGCUGAAAUCA